CUUUAUCGCCACGAUCUUCCAUAUUGUAUUUCAUGAUGUUAAGAGAAAGACGUUAUACUUAUUGCUCCUAGAUAAAGAUUAUAUCAUGAAGAUUCAAGGACAAUUACAUAUUUAUAAAUUCAGAGAUUUACAAACAAAUGUGGCCAACAACUCUAGGCAACACAUGUUCACUUUGGCCGGUAACACUAGACAAAACACAGCAGGCAAUACUAGACAAAACACUAGCAGGCAACACCAGAAAAGAUGAUGGAAUGACAGAGGUUUUUCCAUGAUGAUGUUUUGGGGAUAUACCUGAAUUUAAAAGGAGACAGCUGUAGAUGAAACUUUUGAGGUAGAAGAUCAAAUGUUGUACUGAGAAGACAGUUCUACUGAGAGUUUUGUGAUGUAGAGGUUUGAGCUUCUCUUACUAAAAUUUGACGUAAAGAUAUUGGUAGUGACAUUGGUUAAAUUAGACAUUUAGAAAAAAAGAUAUUUUUAAGGGCUGAUGAUCCAUUUCCUGUAUUUUCUAAAUAUACAUGUUCCCAGAAAUGAAGUCUGCAGAUGACUUUACAUCCAGAAUCCAGUGAGGAAUUGGCUUUCUACUUUACCGUUAAAAAUUCCCUAAUUAUUAAGUUAUGAUUAUUUGUUUAUAUGUUUAUUAAAUUAUAAUGUUUCUUUUUAAGUAGCCACCUAAAUUAAGUUGAAAUUAUGCUGAAAUAUCAAAAUAUCUGAAUUUCCCCCCAAAAAAAACCUCGAGCCUAAUUUAUAUUACACAUCUUUUGUUGGUGUGGCGGUAUAUUUAAGAAAAAAAGAAAAAGGUUAAAAAAAAAAACAUGUGGAGAACUGAAGAAAAAAAUUUGAAACUGCUGAAAACCUGUGUGAUAUAUAUAGAGGUUUGAGUUUCUAUAAAUUUGAGUUAAAAGAAAUUGAUAAUAAGAUUUGUUAAAUAAGACCUUUAUGAUAUAUUUUAUAAGGCCGAAGAACUAUUUGAUUUAUUUUUGAAUACACAUGCUUUCAGAAAUUAGGUCUGCAGAUGACUUAAUUAUUGCAGUUUAAACUACAUCUUGAAUUUUAGUUUAAGAAUCAUGGGAAGAACUUACAAUUUUUAACUAUCUUUUAAAACCCUAAUUGUUCAGUAGAUUCUUUUUAA